rnacentral:rRNA from 1 species
GAGAGUUUGAUCCUGGCUCAGGAUUAACGCUGGCGGCGUGCCUAAUGCAUGCAAGUCGAACGUGGCCCCUUUGGGGGACAACGUGGCGGACGGGUGAGGAACACGUGGGGAACCUGCCCAUCGGUGGGGGGUAGCCCGCGGAAACGCGGGGUAAUUCCGCAUGAGCUGGUCUGGGGGUAGCCCAGAUCAGGAAAGGGUCUUCGGACUCGCCGAUGGAGGGGCCUGCGUCCGAUUAGCUUGUUGGUGGGGUAACGGCCUACCAAGGCGAUGAUCGGUAGCUGGUCUGAGAGGACGGCCAGCCACAGGGGGACUGAGACACGGCCCCCACUCCUACGGGAGGCAGCAGCAAGGAGUUUUCCGCAAUGGGCGAAAGCCUGACGGAGCAACGCCGCGUGGGGGAUGACACCUUUCGGGGCGUAAACCCCUUUUCUUGGGGACGAAGCAGUGACGGUACCCGAGGAAGAAGGCCCGGCUAACUACGUGCCAGCAGCCGCGGUAAUACGUAGGGGCCGA